GAUGAACGCUGGCGGCGUGCCUAAUACAUGCAAGUCGAGCGGACGGACGAGACGCUUGCUUCUUUGUUGUUAGUGGCGGACGGGUGUGUCACACGUGGAUACCCUACCUAUCAGACUGGUAUCACUUCGGGAAUCCGGCGCUAAUACCGGAUAAUCUUUUGAACCGUGUGGUUCAAAAGUGAAAUACGGUCUUUCUGUCUCUUCUCGCUGCAUCCGAGCUGUAUUAGGUAGUUGGUAAGGUAACGGCUUACGACGGCAAGUAUGCCUAACCGACCUGCGAGGGGGAUCGGCCACACUGGAACUGGGACGCGGUCCAUGCGCCUACGGGAGGCAGCAGUAGGGAAUGUUACGCAAUGGGCGAAAGCCUUACGGAGCAACGCCGCGUGAGAGAUGAAGGUCUUCGGAUCGUAAAACUCUGUUAUUAGGUAAGAACAGAUGUGUAAGUAACUGUGCACAGCUUGACGGUACCUAAUCAGAAAGCCACGGCUAACUACGUG
rnacentral:rRNA from 1 species